UACGUAGGGCGCAAGCGUUGUCCGGAAUUAUUGGGCGUAAAGAGCUCGUAGGCGGCUUGUCACGUCGGGUGUGAAAGCCCGGGGCUUAACCCCGGGUCUGCAUUCGAUACGGGCUAGGCUAGAGUGUGGUAGGGGGAGAUCGGAAUUCCUGGUGUAGCGGUGAAAUGCGCAGAUAUCAGGAGGAACACCGAUGGCGAAGGCAGGUCUCUGGGCAUUAACUGACGCUGAGGAGCGAAAGCAUGGGGAGCGAAACAGG
rnacentral:rRNA from 1 species